CGUCUCCGUUGAUGAUUUCAGGUGCUUGCACCUGAAAGAUUUAACAUUGAGACGAGUGGCGAACUGGUGAGUAACACGUGGGUAACCUGCCCUUGAAGUAGGGGAUAACACUUGGAAACAGGUGCUAAUACCGUAUAACAACCAAAACCACCUGGUUUUGGUUUAAAAGACGGCUUCGGCUGUCACUUUAGGAUGGACCCGCGGCGUAUUAGCUUGUUGGUAAGGUAACGGCUUACCAAGGCGAUGAUACGUAGCCGACCUGAGAGGGUAAUCGGCCACAUUGGGACUGAGACACGGCCCAAACUCCUACGGGAGGCAGCAGUAGGGAAUCUUCCACAAUGGACGAAAGUCUGAUGGAGCAACGCCGCGUGAGUGAUGAAGGGUUUCGGCUCGUAAAACUCUGUUGUUGGAGAAGAACAGGUGUCAGAGUAACUGUUGACAUCUUGACGGUAUCCAACCAGAAAGCCACGGCUAACUACGUGCCAGCAGCCGCGGUAAUACGUAGGUGGCAAGCGUUGUCCGGAUUUAUUGGGCGUAAAGCGAGCGCAGGCGGUUUUUUAGGUCUGAUGUGAAAGCCUUCGGCUUAACCGGAGAAGUGCAUCGGAAACCGGGAGACUUGAGUGCAGAAGAGGACAGUGGAACUCCAUGUGUAGCGGUGAAAUGCGUAGAUAUAUGGAAGAACACCAGUGGCGAAGGCGGCUGUCUGGUCUGUAACUGACGCUGAGGCUCGAAAGCAUGGGUAGCGAACAGGAUUAGAUACCCUGGUAGUCCAUGCCGUAAACGAUGAGUGCUAAGUGUUGGAGGGUUUCCGCCCUUCAGUGCUGCA
rnacentral:rRNA from 1 species